rnacentral:tRNA from 2 species
GUUCUUGUAGUUGAAUUACAACGGUGGUUUUUCAAGUCAUAGGUCUAAGUUAAAGUCUUAGUGAGAAUG